GACGAACGCUGGCGGCGUGCCUAAUACAUGCAAGUCGAGCGCAGGAAAUCAUCCGAACCCUUCGGGGGGACGUUGAUGGAAUGAGCGGCGGACGGGUGAGUAACACGUAAAGAACCUGCCCUCAGGUCUGGGAUAACCACGAGAAAUCGGGGCUAAUACCGGAUGGGUCAUCGGACCGCAUGGUCCGAGGAUGAAAGGCGCUUCGGCGUCGCCUGGGGAUGGCUGUGCGGUGCAUUAGCUAGUUGGUGGGGUAAUGGCCCACCAAGGCGACGGUAGAUAGCCGACCUGGUAGGGUGAUCGGCCACCAUGGAAAUGAGACACGGCCCAGACUCCCACGGGAGGCAGCAGUAGGGAAUCUUCCACAAUGGACGAAAGUCUGAUGGAGCAACGCCGCGUGAACGAUGAAGGCCUUCGGGUCGUAAAGUUCUGUUGUAAGGGAAGAACAAGUGCCGCAGGCAAUGGCGGCACCUUGACGGUACCUUGCGAGAAAGCCACGGCUAACUACGUGCCAGCCGCCGCCGUAA
rnacentral:rRNA from 1 species